rnacentral:lncRNA from 1 species
CCAAUUCUGACAGGAUUAGUGUCCUUAUAAGAGGAGAGACCAAAAAGCUCACUCUCUCUCUCUCCACACCCACGCACGGAGGCAAGGACAUGUGAGGACAUAGUGAGAGGUGGCCAUCUGGAAGCCAGAAACUAAAUCGUUUCAUAUGCUGAUCUCGAACUUCCCAGUCUCCAGAACUGUGAGAAAAUAAAUUGGUUAUUUAAGCCACCCAGUGUUUUGUUAUGGCUGCCUAAAUAGACUAAGACCAAUUAUUUUGACCGCUUUUCUACCCUCUCAAAUUUUCUUCAAUGAGAAUGCAUUGCUUCUGUGAAGGUUCUAAGUUCUGUUCAGUAAAUAUUUCUGGCUCUCUGCCUUCUGAGCACACUUGGAGUUGCACUCCGCUAUCUUGAAGUUAGGGCAUGGCCAGGAGACCAUCUGGCCAAUGAAAAGGACCAGGUCAUAAUUCAUCUCAUUCCUUUCCUCCAGUGGGGCAAUCCUGAAAGUACAUGAUGUUGACACAAAGUUUCCAUCAUCCAGGGUCUUUGAGUGACUGCCCAUUAGCAGAGACUUCCUGCCUGACAGACAUUGAUUGAAAAAUAGAUACAUGAUUGCUGCAGUUAUUUGUUACCACAGCAUGGCCUGGCCUACCCUGACUAAUAUACUUUCUAAAUCACAAAGAAAUAAAUUUGUAAACCUUUUAAAAUUUAAAUAACAUCUGCUUUUAGAUAGAAUUAGACUGUACUUAGAACAAAUUAAGCCAUGUUUGUUAUCAUCUACCUCGUGAGGAAAAAGUGCAAUAAAAUAUACCCCCGCCCAAACAUGCAUUAUGCUGCUUUGUCUUCCAUUGUUGAUAAUAUUCUUUUGAGCUCAAGUAUCUCUAUUUCUAUCCACGCUCUUCCUAAAUGAUCAUAAGGAUAACUCAUUAAGAAAUUUUUAAUCAAGAGUAGCUUAACAUGAAUACUGCAUGAGCUCCAUUAUUGCUAGAUUACUGAGUUGCUGAAGGACAAGGACACAGGAAAAGCCACUGAGUAAGUUGCCAUAGUAGAGGGUUUGGGACAAUUAAGUAGUGAAUCUUCUCUGAAUAAAAAAUGAAAGGUGAUUUAAAAACAAGGUCAAAAUGUCUUCACAACAUUAAUCAAGGAAGACUCUAAGACUGUUCAAAAAGAAUGUAGUGAAUUUUUUUUUCUAUGGGAAAUUACUUGUCCUAUUUAUGCAUCUUACAAAUCAGAAAAUUCUAGAGGAACAAAUAGAGUGUAAGAUGUGCCGCUUAGAAGGAGGCAGCCAAGAAGCAGUGGGAAGAUGCAAAUAUUUGCUGUAUGUCAUAAGGAACAAUUACAGGCCCCUCAUCAGAAAUGCAACACAACUUCCCUCUGAACUCAGUAGUCCUCAUUUUACAUAAAGUAUGAAUAAAACAUUGGGCCCUAUUUCCAGAACAACCUGUUAUAAAAAUGGCAUCAGUGAAAGAAAUGGGGAAGGCAGGAGCAGUCAGGCAGUUAUGCUAUGAAUGUCAUAGCACAAAUUUUUCCAUUAAAAGUAAAUCCCCCACAUAAAAAUGCUCCACUUCACAGUAACUAUUCUGUGUUGUAGCUCCUGUGAAUCAAGCUUGGGCUAUAAAUGCAUAAGAGUGGACAACAGUGUGACUUGCUAAUUGCCACCUUCUCCAAUUGGCAUGGAGCCUGGUAGAAAAAAAUACUAUUUGCAGCUCCCUAUUAAAAGCAAAUCUCCCCAUAGAUGUUCUCUGGAAUAUACCAUUUUUCUUCUUUAUUUCCAAAACAUAUGGAAGGUGACAAGAUACUCUUGCCUCACCCACUUCUGCUGACAGGAUUCUAUAUUAAUUCCUUGGUAGGGAUACUCACAGAAAUAGAGAGCACAUGGAGCCACAAAAAUGACAAUAUUAGGAAAAUGCUGAAGCAUCUGAAUAAGUUUAGGUCGGCCCCUUUCUUCAGGCUUUUCAUUUUUCUCACUCAGCUGCUUCUAAGGCAUUGUUUCGUUGACUUCUUUGUGACUUCCAGACCCAAUGUCCUCUGCUUUCCUGCAGGGUCCAGCCCGCUCCUGUCAUCAAGCUUGGGCUAUUUCCUUCCCUCUCCAACUUAGACCACAGGAUCCACCCCGCAAGCAAGAUCCAGCCAAUAUCCUCAAGUAGAAUUGACACAUUCGAUGAGGACAUUGGAAAGAUAGUGGCACAAAGAGCACCGAGGACGUUGAUACAUCGGCUCAAAAGGCAUAAAGAGUAAGGAAAGGAGAUUUUCUCAUGUAACAAGAAGGGCACUGGGUCAAUCAAUGAUAUUAUCAAGGGCAGACUUCCAUUUCAUUCCUGAAUUCUUCUGUGUCACCUUGUCUUUAGGCUAGUUCACCAAGCAUCGCCUGCAGACAGGACAGCCUCCCAAGGUAGAAAAUAAACCAUCUUUUUUUUUUUUUUUUUUUUUUUUGAGACAAGAGUUUCCCUCUAUCACCCAGGCUGGAGUGCAGUGGCAUGAUCUUGGCUCACUGCAACCUCCACCUCCCGGGUUCAAGCGAUUCUCCUGCCUCUGACUCCCAAGUAGCUAGGAUUACAGGUGUGUGCAACCAUGCCCAGCUAAUUUUUUUUUUUUUUUGUAUUUUUAGUGAAGAUGAGGUUUCACUAUGUUGACCAGGCUGCUCUGGAACUCCUGACCUCAAGUGAUGUAACCACCUCGGCCUCCUGAAGUGCUGUGAUUACAGGCAUGAGCCACCACACUUGGCCAAACCAUAUCUUUCUUAAAUAUUUUUUAGAAGUAAGAAAAUAUUUCCCUCUUUGUGGAAUCCCCCUCAUUGCCUGGAAUUACAUCACAUGCUCAUGCUCUUGCCCAAAUUAGUCACUGGUGAAAGAAACAUCAUGAUUGGCUUAGACUGAUAAGUAUCAGGGCCAUCCUCCCCUGAAGUAGGUGUCUAAUCUGAGAAGAGUAGUUACUAAACAAAAACCGCGUUCCAUUAGAAGGGAGGAAGGGACAAGAGUGGUGUGUGGUGUAAGUAAUCAAUCAUGCAAUUCUAGUUCAGUCCAACAAUCUGCCUUUCCUCCAGGCUGGCCAUCGGCCUCUGCUGGCAAAAUCUUGGAGCAUGUAUGACGGGUGCUCACUAAUGACAGUCUGACACACAGGACCUUAUCACCUCCUAGUCCUGUAUCCUACUCCGUUCCCCAGAGGGGGUGUUUUAAACUUCUGUGUUGCUUCAUCCCCUUUCACUCACAUCCACUCCCUGAAAAAUUGUCUCACCUCCCACCUCACAAGGAAAAUGGGUGAUAUCAGACAAGAGCUCCAUUGAUUUUCUAAAGCAGCUCUACAAAUGUACCCACUCGAACCCAGCCUGCUCCUUCUUUCCUGUCACAAUGGAAAAGCUGUUUCUUAUCCUAAAUCCACAGUAAAUCCAUUUACCUCUAAUAUGGACCCUAUUCUUUCUCCCUUUUCUGGAGCCCUUCUGUCAGUAGGCGCCCUCUAUACUCUAUUUUCAAUCUCUCGUUCACUGCCUGCUUAAUUCUAACAGCAAGGGAUUCCAUCAACAUGCUCAACUCCAGCCAAUUUUUUUUAAAGAAUAAAUCCCUCCUUUAUUCCAUAUCCCUACCAACUCUCACACUAUCUCUGUUCUCCCCUUCACAGGCAAACUUCUUGAAAGAGUAGUCUCCACUUCCUGUCUCUUCUUCCUUGCUUCCACUCACACCCUAAACCAUUGCAAUCUGGCAUCUAUGCCCAUCUUUUCACAAAAGCACCCUCACAGUGCUCCUAAUGACCCCCUCACCCUUAACCCAAGCUCACUCUGUGGCUGGUCUGAAUGUCUGUGUCCCCCACCAAGAUCCAUAUGCUGAAACUUCAAUCCUCAAUGAGACCAGAGGUGUGGCCUUUGGGAAGCAAUUAGGUGACCAGGCCUCCAACCUCACCAAUGGGGUUAAUGUUUUUAUCAAAGAGGCCUGAGGGAGCUUGUUUGCCCCUUCAGCCAUUUGAGGACACAGAGAAGGGGCCAUCUAGGAGACACAGGCCUUCACCAGACACCGAAUCUGCUGGCCCCUUGAUCUUGGACUUCCCAGCCUGCGGAACUGAGCAAUAAAUUCUGUGGCUUAUAAAUUACUCAGUCUAAGGUAUUUUGUUGUAGCAGCUGAAUGGACUAAGACAACCUCUUAGAGGCACUGGGCAUGUUAUUGUUCACCUCUCCUCAGGGAAAUGCUACCUUUGUAUUUUUUUUUUUUUUUUCUGAGACAGAGUUUCGCUCUUGUUGCCCAGGCUGCUGGAGUGCAAUAGCGCAAUCUCAGCUCACCUCAACCUCCGCCUCCUAUUUUUUUUGUAUUUUUAGUAGAGACAGGGU